rnacentral:rRNA from 1 species
GCUGGUUGCUUACGAAAAGAAUAUUAGUUCUGCCUCAAUAACUGUUUAAAGCACUAUAAAGCAAACAACAAACUUGAGAGUUAGUCAAAAGGGGUACAGCCCAUUUGACUCAGGAAACAACCUAACACCUGGGGUAAAGAUUAUAAUAAACAAGGAUUUUGACCCAGUGGGCCUAAAAGCAGCCACCUGUUAAGAAAGCGUCAUAGCUCUAUCAACACCCGACCCAACAAUCCCAAUAACCACUCUGAUCCCUCCAAGUAGUAAGCCCUCCUAUUCACAUAUAGAAUUGUUUAUGCUAGAACUAGUAACUAGAAUAAUUCUCCUAAUGCAAGUGCACAUCAGCCCGAAACACUCACUGAUAACUAACGACUACUGAACCCACUGUAGUAACACCCCCAGAAAAACCUACACUAACCAUCGUUAACCUAACACAAGAGCAUCCCAGAAAAGAUUUAAAGACGUGGAAGGGACUCGGCAAACACGAACUUCGCCUGU